AUUGAACGCUGGCGGCAGGCCUAACACAUGCAAGUCGAGCGGAUGAAGGGAGCUUGCUCCUGGAUUCAGCGGCGGACGGGUGAGUAAUGCCUAGGAAUCUGCCUGGUAGUGGGGGAUAACGUCCGGAAACGGGCGCUAAUACCGCAUACGUCCUGAGGGAGAAAGUGGGGGAUCUUCGGACCUCACGCUAUCAGAUGAGCCUAGGUCGGAUUAGCUAGUUGGUGGGGUAAAGGCCUACCAAGGCGACGAUCCGUAACUGGUCUGAGAGGAUGAUCAGUCACACUGGAACUGGGACACGGUCCAGACUCCUACGGGAGGCAGCAGUGGGGAAUAUUGGACAAUGGGCGAAAGCCUGAUCCAGCCAUGCCGCGCGUGUGAAGAAGGUCUUCGGAGUGUAAAGCACUUUAAGUUGGGAGGAAGGGCAGUAAGUUAAUACCUUGCUGUUUUGACGUUACCAACAGAAUAAGCACCGGCUAACUUCGUG
rnacentral:rRNA from 1 species